AGGAUUUAUGGUAUUCUCGGUUUGACGACCUUGUUAUCCCUAUACCCAGGUCCUGGUUGAGACUGUCCGGAGUAUUUCCAGUCGCUAGUUCCCCCUCCAGAUUGCGAGGAUUUCGGUUUUGGAUCUUUUCUGUGGUUUUCUUAUUAUGUUAUCAUCUAUGUUUCUAGACUUGUAUCUUUAUGGCACUUUGGAUCUUGUAUGGUCCUUUAUUAUCGAUGGGUUUUCAUUUGGAUGUAUGCUGAUGAUUUGAGUUUUAUGGGUGUAGUUGAGUAGGAUAUAAGAUUUGAGUUUUAUAGGUGUAGUUAAGUAAGAUA